rnacentral:rRNA from 1 species
CCUACGGGUGGCAGCAGUGAGGAAUAUUGGUCAAUGGUCGUGAGACUGAACCAGCCAAGUCGCGUGCGGGAGGAAGGUACAGUGUAUCGUAAACCUCUUUUGUCAGGGAACAAAGACUGGGACGCGUCCCCGUUUGAGUGUACCUGAUGAAAAAGCAUCGGCUAAUUCCGUGCCAGCAGCCGCGGUAAUACGGAGGAUACGCGCGUUAUCCGGUUUUAUUGGGUUUAAAGGGUGCGCAGGCGGUAUGUUAAGUCAGCGGUCAAAGCCCGGGGCUCAACCCUGACCCGCGGUUGAAAAUGGCAGUCACGAGUGGGAGAGAAGUAUGCGGAAGGCGCGGUGUAGCGGUGAAAUGCAUAGAUAUCGCGCAGAACUCCGAUUGCGAAGGCAGCAUGCCGGCUCCACACUGACGCUGAGGCACGAAAGCGUGGGUAUCGAACAGGAUUAGAUACCCGGGUAGUC